rnacentral:rRNA from 1 species
UACAGAGGUCUCAAGCGUUGUUCGGAUUCAUUGGGCGUAAAUGGUGCGUAGGCGGCGCGGUAAGUCGGGUGUGAAAUCUCGGGGCUUAACUCCGAAACUGCAUUCGAUACUGCCGUGCUUGAGGACUGGAGAGGAGACUGGAAUUUACGGUGUAGCGGUGAAAUGCGUAGAUAUCGUAAGGAAGACCAGUGGCGAAGGCGGGUCUCUGGACAGUUCCUGACGCUGAGGCACGAAGGCCAGGGGAGCAAACGGG